CCGGAGAAUGUUAUCACGGGAGACACACGGCGGGUGCUAACGUCCGUCGUGAAGAGGGAAACAACCCAGACCGCCAGCUAAGGUCCCAAAGUCAUGGUUAAGUGGGAAACGAUGUGGGAAGGCCCAGACAGCCAGGAUGUUGGCUUAGAAGCAGCCAUCAUUUAAAGAAAGCGUAAUAGCUCACUGGUCGAGUCGGCCUGCGCGGAAGAUGUAACGGGGCUAAACCAUGCACCGAAGCUGCGGCAGCGAACGUAUCACUUAAAGCGAUUCAGCGGGUUACGAUUGACGGAGCGAAGCGACGUCAAAGCGUAUACAAAGUCGAGUCGGUUUAAGGAUACGUUCGUUGGGUAGGGGAGCGUUCUGUAAGCCUGUGAAGGUGUGUCGUGAGGCAUGCUGGAGGUAUCAGAAGUGCGAAUGCUGACAUAAGUAACGAUAAAGCGGGUGAAAAGCCCGCUCGCCGGAAGACCAAGGGUUCCUGUCCAACGUUAAUCGGGGCAGGGUGAGUCGACCCCUAAGGCGAGGCCGAAAGGCGUAGUCGAUGGGAAACGGGUUAAUAUUCCCGUACUUGGUGUUACUGCGAAGGGGGGACGGAGAAGGCUAUGUUGGCCGGGCG
rnacentral:rRNA from 1 species